UCUCCGUAGGUGAACCAGCGGAGGGAUCAUUACAGAGUUCUCAACCUCGCGGGUAGCUCCCCAACCCACUGUUAUCGUUACUGUCGUUUCUUUGGCGGGCCGCCGGGUCCCCGCCCGCCGGCGUCGGAUGCGCGGCGCGCGGCCGCCAGACGAAUUCGUACCCCGAAUCGUCGUAUCGUAUGAGUACUAUAUAAUAGUUAAAACUUUCAACAACGGAUCUCUUGGUUCUG
rnacentral:misc_RNA from 1 species